rnacentral:lncRNA from 1 species
AUCUAACCAAAAUAUUGUCAUUUCAAUAUGUAGUCGAUCUUGAAAAUGACUACUGAUGUAUCUUGCGUUCUUUUUUUCAGGCUAAUUCUUUGAACUUUGGCGUGUAUUUUACACUUACAGCACAUCUCAAUCAGACCAGCCACAUUGCAAGUGCUCCAUAGGCACAUGUGGCAGGUGGCCACCGAGGUGGACAGCACAGCCCGAACAGAGUCCUUUCUGUUACUCUUCAGAAACAAUAGCUUUCUCCAUUCAGGACCACACUCCUGCAUGCCCUCUCCACCGCAUCAGCACCUGCGCCAUGGUUCACAGGUGGCCUUGGGAUUGUAAGGCAAGCGCUGUGCUUCUGUUCGCUUGCAGAGAGCCCUGAACUCAUGCUUCUGUCUGGGCAGCGGCCCUUGACAGCUGGGGCUCGCUCUUUCCUUCCCAGGGCGCCAUGGUUGGAUGCUGUAUCUUGCUAAAGUCAAACUUUCUACUUCGAAAAACUUUACAAAACUUCACAAAGGCAGAUUUUCUCUUACUUUUUAAAAACAGGUCUGUCAUUUCUUAAUUUUCUCUCUGGUACAUUUUCCAGCCAUUGUUUUGCUAAUAAUAGCUCUAAGCAUGCAAAUAAAGCUCAGUGGUAGUGGUAGAUUUGGGAAAUUGCUGCUAGCUUCCUCACAGCCUUAUCCUGCUCCUGUCAGCCAUUUCCCCAAGAAAAUGGACGUUUCAUCAGCACCAGGCUGCAUCUUAUUUGUGUAGCUUAUCAGCUACCGCCUCCUUCCAGGCCCAGAGAGAAGACAGAAACCUACAGGCUGCCCGCAAUGGCCCAGGAGGCGGGGUUUCCACCAGGAAGCAGCGCCUUUAUGAAUUAAGCACGUGACGCAUCUCAGCGUGGCCACGUCUGUAAGGUGAUAUGGAAGUUGUUUCUAAAUAUUGAGGUGACAACCACGACAACCUUUACAUCACUUGAGGAUGCUGCCUGUGUGUGUAGGUGCCGGAUAUAAGACGUGUAUGGAUUAAACGCACACGGACUCAUCCAACAACUUUACCUUGAGGAAGAUGAGUUGAGAAAGUUCGCCUUGUGCAUUGAACUAGAAAGAUAGACUCAUUAAUCUUUACAUUGGAAAAAUAAAAUAAGGAUUGGCUCCCUGGAAUUGGAAGUGAUUGCCCAAUAAUUAGAAGGAGGCCAAGCAAAAGAAGAAAGCAGACAAAUAGCAAAAUGAGAGGUGGGAUGGCACCAUGCUUUGUUCCCAAUAGGCACUCAUAUUUGCAGGGUUUCAUUAAAUGGAAAGGUUUGGGACUAGACAAUGGAUUACUUUGGGGACCCCCUCACAGCACUGCUCGUGGGGCAACAUGACCAGGAGGUGACCUGGAAUACCCACGCCCCUCCCAACCUCAGACAAGGAACUCCAGGAACAAGCCUGCCUGAGAGGGAAGCCAGUGCUUCCUCCAGGUGCAGGAAACUGAGCGGCCCUGUCCUUAGGGGCAGAGGCCACUGUGAUUUGCCUAUGGGGACAGCACUGCUCCGAGGUUCUGCUGGGUCCUUCCUGGGAAUGGCUCCUUCCCCACAAGCCUCAGAAAUCUGUAGGAG